rnacentral:rRNA from 1 species
GAUGAACGCUGGCGGCGUGCCUAAUACAUGCAAGUCGAGCGAACGGACGAGAAGCUUGCUUCUCUGAUGUUAGCGGCGGACGGGUGAGUAACACGUGGAUAACCUACCUAUAAGACUGGGAUAACUUCGGGAAACCGGAGCUAAUACCGGAUAAUAUUUUGAACCGCAUGGUUCAAAAGUGAAAGACGGUCUUGCUGUCACUUAUAGAUGGAUCCGCGCUGCAUUAGCUAGUUGGUAAGGUAACGGUUUACCAAGGCAACGAUGCAUAGCCGACCUGAGAGGGUGAUCGGCCACACUGGAACUGAGGCACGGUCCAGACUCCUACGGGAGGCAGCAGUAGGGAAUCUUCCGCAAUGGGCGAAAGCCUGACGGAGCAACGCCGCGUGAGUGAUGAAGGUCUUCGGAUCGUAAAACUCUGUUAUUAGGGAAGAACAUAUGUGUAAGUAACUGUGCACAUCUUGACGGUACCUAAUCAGAAAGCCACGGCUAACUACGUG